rnacentral:rRNA from 1 species
UACCGAGGGGGCAAGCGUUAUUCGGAAUUAUUGGGCGUAAAGGGCGCGUAGGCGGCUUUGCAAGUGACGGGUGAAAUCCCUCGGCUUAACCGAGGAACUGCCUGUCAAACUGUGAGGCUUGAGACCGGGAGAGGUGAGUGGAAUUCCCAGUGUAGCGGUGAAAUGCGUAGAUAUUGGGAGGAACACCAGUGGCGAAGGCGGCUCACUGGACCGGUACUGACGCUGAUGCGCGAAAGCGUGGGGAGCAAACAGG